rnacentral:rRNA from 1 species
AUGAACGUUGGCGGCGUGGAUUAGGCAUGCAAGUCGAGCGAGAACCCCGCAAGGGGGGACAGCGGCGACAGGGACAGUAAUGUGUAGAUUAUCUGCCCUCAGGUCCGGAUAGCUGCGGGAAACUGCAGGUAAUACCGGAUAACAUCUCCGGAUCAAAGGUGUGAUUCCGCCUGAGGAUGAGUCUGCAUCCUAUUAGCUAGUUGGUGGGGUAAUGGCCUACCAAGGCAUUGAUGGGUAGCAGGUGUGAGAGCACGACCUGCGUCAUUGGGACUGAGACACUGCCCAGACACCUACGGGUGGCUGCAGUCGAGAAUCUUCGGCAAUGGGCGCAAGCCUGACCGAGCGACGCCGCGUGUGGGAUGAAGGCCUUCGGGUUGUAAACCACUGUCAGAGGGGAUGAAAUGCAGGUGGGUUCUCCCAUCUGUUUGACAUAGCCUCAGAGGAAGGACGGGCUAAGUUCGUG